UCGAGAUGCCCAGAGAACCCGGGAGGAACUGCGGAUGUCGCCAUAUUGUUGCUGCUCUUCUCCUCCUCCUCCCCAGCGCGCGCGGACAACCUGCAUAAUUGAUGACUCUCAGCAAAAAAGAAAAAUGUCAGAAACCCAAAUCUGCCUUCAUUUGUUCAGACAACAACCUGACGAAGCUCCAACACACCUCACAUCUCAGAGAACCACAUCCUCUCAGUGGAUCUGCUUUCUUCUUCCUGUGAGGUGAUGCCAGUGAACUGAUUCAAAGACUCGCCAUGCCAAUAUCUUCUGAUUCCAAUCUUGAUCCUGAUCCUGAAGCGAUUCCAGAUCAAAAUUCUGGAAAUGUUGUGAUUUGGAAAGCAAUAUUAAAGCAUGAAACCUCUCGCCCAAGACACACACGCUAGCUAGGUAACCGAGAGUAGAACACAAAUCAUUUAAAUUCUUCAGGAUUCAUUUUUCAUUAGUAUUAAUUAUUUUUAUUAGUCUUUAUUAUUAUUUUUUUUUUUGCGGUUUAGAGCUGAUUUAUCAGGAUGUGAUGUUUAUUUCCUAAAUUCCUAAUUAAGUUACAUGAAGAGCGCUUUGUGUUCCAUCAUCACCACCACCACGGGGUCCCACCACCAAAAGGAACUUCCUGAUACACUAAACAUGCUGCCAGAUGACAGCAAAGUGUUCUUAUUUGUUUGUUUGUUUGUUUGUUUGUUUGUUUUGCGUCGCUAUUUUACAUAUAAUGGCACCCCCUAGUGGCUCAGGUGAUCACAUCUCAGUGCUUCUCAUCACACACCACUGAUUCCACUGUAAGUGACAGAAAUGAGAACUUUAUCUGUUUACAACAAUGAACACUUUUGGUAGAACAGAUUUAUGUCAUGUUUCAUAUACAAUUUUAUCCAAUAAAUUAAAAUGUCUGU